rnacentral:rRNA from 1 species
UACGUAGGGUGCAAGCGUUGUCCGGAAUUAUUGGGCGUAAAGAGCUCGUAGGCGGUCUGUCGCGUCUGCUGUGAAAAACUCAGGGCUUAACCCUGAGCUUGCAGUGGGUACGGGCAGACUAGAGUGCGGUAGGGGAGACUGGAAUUCCUGGUGUAGCGGUGGAAUGCGCAGAGUAUCAGGAGGAACACCGAUGGCGAAGGCAGGUCUCUGGGCCGCAACUGACGCUGAGGAGCGAAAGCAUGGGGAGCGAACAGG